CCUACGGGAGGCUGCAGUCGAGAAUCUUCGGCAAUGGGCGAAAGCCUGACCGAGCGACGCCGCGUGGAGGACGAAGGCCUUAACGGUUGUAAACUCCUGUUGGGGGGAAACAAAACAAUGAGUGAACCCCUGAGGAAGCACGGGCUAAGUUCGUGCCAGCAGCCGCGGUAAGACGAACCGUGCGAACGUUAUUCGGAAUCAUUGGGCUUAAAGAGCACGUAGGCGGCGUCGUAAGUUGGAAGUGAAAUCCCACGGCUCAACCGUGGAACUGCCUCCAAUACUGCGAUGCUUGAGGGAGGUAGGGGCCUGUGGAACUUCCGGUGGAGCGGUGAAAUGUGUUGAGAUCGGAAGGAACGCCAGUGGCGAAAGCGACAGGCUGGAUCUUUUCUGACGCUGAGGUGCGAAAGCUAGGGUAGCGAACGGGAUUAGAUACCCUAGUAGUC
rnacentral:rRNA from 1 species